rnacentral:misc_RNA from 1 species
GAUGAAGAACGCAGCGAAAUGCGAUAAGUAAUGUGAAUUGCAGAAUUCAGUGAAUCAUCGAAUCUUUGAACGCACCUUGCGCUCCUUGGUAUUCCGAGGAGCAUGCCUGUUUGAGUGUCAUGAAAUUCUCAACCUUAUCAGCUUUCUUUGUUGAUCAGGCUUGGAUGUGGGAGUAUGCGGGCUUCUCAGAAGUCGGCUCUCCUGAAAUGCAUUAGCGGGACCUUUGUUGCCUGGCUUUGGUGUGAUAAUUAUCUACGCCAUUGUAGUCAAGCAGCUUAAAAUGAGGUUUCAGCUUCUAACCGUCUCCCCUGAGACAACUUUUUGACAAUUUGACCUCAAAUCAGGUAGGACUACCCGCUGAACUUAAGCAUAUCAAUAAGCGGAGGA